rnacentral:rRNA from 1 species
UACAGAGGGGGCAAGCGUUAUUCGGAAUUAUUGGGCGUAAAGCGUACGUAGGCGGCUUUUCAAGUCAGAAGUGAAAACCUGGGGCUCAACCCCAGACCUGCUUUUGAGACUGUAAGGCUAGAGUUUGGAAGAGGACAGUGGAAUUCCGAGUGUAGAGGUGAAAUUCGUAGAUAUUCGGAGGAACACCAGUGGCGAAAGCGACUGUCUGGUACAUAACUGACGCUGAAGUACGAAAGCGUGGGGAGCAAACAGG